rnacentral:rRNA from 1 species
UACGGAGGGGGCUAGCGUUGUUCGGAAUUACUGGGCGUAAAGCGCACGUAGGCGGCUUUGUAAGUUAGAGGUGAAAGCCCAGGGCUUAACCCUGGAAUUGCCUUUAAGACUGCAUCGCUAGAAUCGUGGAGAGGUAAGUGGAAUUCCGAGUGUAGAGGUGAAAUUCGUAGAUAUUCGCAAGAACACCAGUGGCGAAGGCGGCUCACUGGUCCGGUACUGACGCUGAGGUGCGAAAGCGUGGGGAGCAAACAGG